GUUUCUUCUUUUUAUAUGUAAUAUAUUAUCAGCUUCUCUUCCAUUCUCCACUAGACGGUUCAGAAAGCAAAAUUGGCAGAUUUCCUUGCAACGCCCAUUUCCCCUCUGGUUUUUCUGCUGUUGAUUUCCGGUUAAGCUUGGUUUUGAAAUUGUUUACCAAUUUAAUUGGAACCCUAACUAUUCCCAGACUUAGUGAAUUUCAUCCAAUCCCAAUGGCUUUGUGAUAGCAAAUAGCCAUAACUGUCUUCUGAGCUGCUAAGUUUCUUCUUGUUUGAGUGAUGGACUCUCUGCUUGCCAACUAUGCUUCUUCAGAUGAUGAAGAGGAAAACCAUCAUCAAAGCUCUCCCCCUGCACCCAAGCCAGCGUUAUCUUCAUCUCUUCUCUCUUCCCUCCCACAGCCUAAAUCUUCCUCUCUCUUCUCUACUCUUCCCCAACCCAAACAGCAGUCCUUUACUCCCAUAAUUCAGCAUAAUAAUGGUAACAGUAAUAAAAAUAGCAUCAAGGAAGAUGAAGAUGCUCCAAAACCCUCUCCCAAACCCUCUUCUUCUCUUUUCUCUUCCCUCCCUAAACCUAAAACCCAAUCCCCACAAGAAGCCAUCUCAAAUCUCUCAACCUUAGGCCCCAAUCUCAAAAGGGUUGUGCAAUUCAAGCCCCCCAUUAACCCCAUUAAUCUAGAUUCCACUGAUUUUGAUGAUG
rnacentral:misc_RNA from 1 species